CCAACUGACAUUCUUUUCCACGAUAUAAUGCUACCAUGUUUUCUGGCAUAAAACACAUACCUAACACUCAAACCCCAGCUACCAGUCUAUUUUGACUAGAAACAAAUUCUUUGGUUUUUAAUUACUUGUAGUCUCUUGUCCCACUUUCCACAGGUUCUAAUCCAAUCACUGCAUUUCACUCCUCUUAUUUAAUCUAAUCUUUCUCCUGCCAUGUCUGCUCUGCAUCUCUGAACUUGGAGAAUUCUGUAAAAAAAUUAUAAUGGGUAGCAAAACUUGUUCUUCCAAGGAUGCUUCAGUCAAUUCUCAAGGCAUUCAAAUCUUUUGGGACUGGGUGGUUGUGGUUAGUAGCCAGAAAAUUUAAGUGGCCCAUCUUUUAGUGGCUCAGAAGAAUCCAUCCCUUAUCAGCUUGAAUGGUUUAAAGAACACUUAAUGUUUCAGACCAUGAUUGCAGCGAUUUAGUAGGAUUGACAUUUAUUGCUUAUUUUUUAUUCAACUGUGUAGGAUUGUUUUGUGUCACCAUCACUUAAAAAUUAGAAUUUAUUGCAUAUGUUUGCCCAUGGUCAAGCCCAUUUAAGGUUGGAAUUGCCCAAAUGGAGUGUCAUUGUAUUCAAGAGUUUAAAACUUUAAACUAUUUAGUGAGACCCAUCUUCAUGGGUAGUGAUUUUCAAUAAGCCAUCUGUAGGAUUGAUGAAUUUCUUGUAUUCUAUGAUGAUCAAAGAGGAAAGUUGUGGGAUUGAAACUACCAAAAUGAAAGUAUCUUUGAGUAGCUUUAUCUGUCACUACCUGAACUUACAUCAGGAAACCCAAAUUUCUCUGAAGAUCACCUCUUCCAGUACUAUUUUACCUCAACUGUUCUUAAGUAAUUUUCCAUAAGUCACUUAAGCUUGUCACUCAGCUCAAAGAAUUAGCUCAUUGUGUUUGCCCAUUUUUAAGUCCACUUAGCUCACUGUGUUUGCCCAUCUCAAAGUCCACUGUGUUUGCCUAAAUGGAGUGUCACUUCAUUGUAUUCAAGAGUAAAAACUAUAAACUAAUUUAUGAGACCCAUCUUCUUGAGUAGUGAUUUUCAAUAAGCCAUCUGCAGGAUUGAUGAAUAUCUUGUAUUCUAUGAUGAUCAAAGAGGGAAGUAGUGGGAUUGAAACUACCAAAAUGAAAAUAUCUUUGAAUAGCUCCAUCUGUCACUACCUGAAAUUACAUCAGGAACCCAAAUUUUUCAGAACAAUCCUGACUCGAGUGUUCUUAAUCAUGGAAUUUCAGCUCUAAUCAAGGUCAUUUAGCUUGUUUUCUUAAUCAUGGAGUUUCAGUUCUAAUCAAGAUUAUUUAGCUUGUAACUCAGCUUAAAGGAUUUUCGAUGUUCCACUACUAUCUUGACUCAAGCGUUCUCAAUCAUGGAGUUUCAGCUCUAAUCAAGGAAAUGUUAAGAAUGGUGAAUCUGAGGACCAUUUCUCAGGAGAUGAAAAAGACUUGAUAAAUAGGCUAUAUAAUCUGCUUGGUGACAGAUGGGCUCUGAUUGCAGGGAGGCUUCCAGGUCGAACCGCU